UACGGGGGGAGCAAGCGUUGUUCGGAUUUACUGGGCGUAAAGGGCGCGUAGGCGGCGCAACAAGUCACUUGUGAAAUCCCCGGGCUUAACCUGGGAACUGCAUUUGUGACUGCAUGGCUGGAGUGCGGCAGAGGGGGAUGGAAUUCCGCGUGUAGCAGUGAAAUGCGUAGAUAUGCGGAGGAACACCGAUGGCGAAGGCAAUCCCCUGGGCCUGCACUGACGCUCAUGCACGAAAGCGUGGGGAGCAAACAGG
rnacentral:rRNA from 1 species